rnacentral:misc_RNA from 1 species
UACGUAGGUGGCAAGCGUUGUCCGGAAUUAUUGGGCGUAAAGGGCGCGCAGGCGGUUUUCUAAGUCUGGUGUGAAAGCCCGGGGCUCAACCCCGGGAUGGCAUCGGAAACUGGAGGACUUGAGUAUAGGAGAGGGAAGCGGAAUUCCACGUGUAGCGGUGAAAUGCGUAGAGAUGUGGAGGAACACCAGUGGCGAAGGCGGCUUCCUGGCCUAUUACUGACGCUGAGGCGCGAAAGCGUGGGGAGCGAACAGG